rnacentral:rRNA from 1 species
UACAGAGACUGCAAGCGUUAUUCGGAUUCACUGGGCGUAAAGGGCGCGUAGGCGGCCGCCUAAGUCAGACGUGAAAUCCCUCGGCUCAACCGGGGAACUGCGUCUGAUACUGGGUGGCUUGAAUCCGGGAGAGGGAUGCGGAAUUCCAGGUGUAGCGGUGAAAUGCGUAGAUAUCUGGAGGAACACCGGUGGCGAAGGCGGCAUCCUGGACCAAUUCUGACGCUGAGGAGCGAAAGCCAGGGGAGCAAACGGG